UAUCCGGAAUUAUUGGGCGUAAAGGGCUCGUAGGCGGUUCGUCGCGUCCGGUGUGAAAGUCCAUCGCUUAACGGUGGAUCCGCGCCGGGUACGGGCGGGCUUGAGUGCGGUAGGGGAGACUGGAAUUCCCGGUGUAACGGUGGAAUGUGUAGAUAUCGGGAAGAACACCAAUGGCGAAGGCAGGUCUCUGGGCCGUUACUGACGCUGAGGAGCGAAAGCGUGGGGAGCGAACAGGAUUAGAUACCCUGGUAGUCCACGCCGUAAACGGUGGAUGCUGGAUGUGGGGCCCGUUCCACGGGUUCCGUGUCGGAGCUAACGCGUUAAGCAUCCCGCCUGGGGAGUACGGCCGCAAGGCUAAAACUCAAAGAAAUUGACGGGGGCCCGCACAAGCGGCGGAGCAUGCGG
rnacentral:rRNA from 1 species